UCUUAGUUUUAACUUUCAGCAUCCUGUGAAGGAAUCGAUUCUUUCUACUUGCCCCACAAUGAGACCUGUACCAAGUAUGUCUGGUGCGUCAACUCACGACCUUACACAAUGGACUGCCCACUUAAAUCAUUUUUUAUCUCUGGAGAGAGUUUCAACAAAUGUAUGUACACGUACGUGCCUUACAUACUUGAAAUACCUGAAGAGCAAUAUCAAGAUUGUUUGAAAAAAGAGGCAUCAAGGCCCCCAACAACAACAACAACAACAACAACAACAACAACAACAACUACAACCAGAAAACCUUGAGCCCAACCAAUUCUUGUAGAGACUGACUGAAAGGCUGAGCAGCACGUAGUCCAUGGCGGGUUGUUCAGACAAGAUCGUGAGCAAAACAAAAAUGGCGAUGUUAGGUGUGAAGGUGUUUUGGAAAACAUGAACUGGUGACUUGAAAUGAAAGAAAAUUACAGAAAGAAGAAUAAAGAAAAAGUGAGAACUUAA
rnacentral:sRNA from 1 species